rnacentral:rRNA from 1 species
CUACGGGAGGCUCCAGUGGGGAAUAUUGCACAAUGGGCGCAAGCCUGAUGCAGCCAUGCCGCGUGUAUGAAGAAGGCCUUCGGGUUGUAAAGUACUUUCAGCGGGGAGGAAGGGAGUAAAGUUAAUACCUUUGCUCAUUGACGUUACCCGCAGAAGAAGCACCGGCUAACUCCGUGCCAGCAGCCGCGGUAAUACGGAGGUGCAAGCGUUAAUCGGAAUUACUGGGCGUAAAGCGCACGCAGGCGGUUUGUUAAGUAGAUGUGAAAUCCCCGGGCUCAACCUGGGAACUGCAUCUGAUACUGGCAAGCUUGAGUCUCGUAGAGGGGGGUAGAAUUCCAGGUGUAGCGGUGAAAUGCGUAGAGAUCUGGAGGAAUACCGGUGGCGAAGGCGGCCCCCUGGACGAAGACUGACGCUCAGGUGCGAAAGCGUGGGGAGCAAACAGGAUUAGAUACCCCGGUAGUC